GAUGAACGCUGGCGGCGUGCCUAAUACAUGCAAGUCGAGCGAACAGACGAGGAGCUUGCUCCUCUGACGUUAGCGGCGGACGGGUGAGUAACACGUGGAUAACCUACCUAUAAGACUGGGAUAACUUCGGGAAACCGGAGCUAAUACCGGAUAAUAUAUUGAACCGCAUGGUUCAAUAGUGAAAGACGGUUUUGCUGUCACUUAUAGAUGGAUCCGCGCCGCAUUAGCUAGUUGGUAAGGUAACGGCUUACCAAGGCAACGAUGCGUAGCCGACCUGAGAGGGUGAUCGGCCACACUGGAACUGAGACACGGUCCAGACUCCUACGGGAGGCAGCAGUAGGGAAUCUUCCGCAAUGGGCGAAAGCCUGACGGAGCAACGCUGCGUGAGUGAUGAAGGUCUUCGGAUCGUAAAACUCUGUUAUUAGGGAAGAACAAAUGAGUAAGUAACUAUGCACGUCUUGACGGUACCUAAUCAGAAAGCCACGGCUAACUACGUG
rnacentral:rRNA from 1 species